rnacentral:rRNA from 1 species
AACGGUGGAUCUGCGCCGGGUACGGGCGGGCUGGAGUGCGGUAGGGGAGACUGGAAUUCCCGGUGUAACGGUGGAAUGUGUAGAUAUCGGGAAGAACACCAAUGGCGAAGGCAGGUCUCUGGGCCGUUACUGACGCUGAGGAGCGAAAGCGUGGGGAGCGAACAGGAUUAGAUACCCUGGUAGUCCACGCCGUAAACGGUGGAUGCUGGAUGUGGGGCCCUUCCACGGGUCCCGUGUCGGAGCCAACGCGUUAAGCAUCCCGCCUGGGGAGUACGGCCGCAAGGCUAAAACUCAAAGAAAUUGACGGGGGCCCGCACAAGCGGCGGAGCAUGCGGAUUAAUUCGAUGCAACGCGAAGAACCUUACCUGGGCUUGACAUGUUCCCGACGACGGCAGAGAUGUCGUUUCCCUUCGGGGCGGGUUCACAGGUGGUGCAUGGUCGUCGUCAGCUCGUGUCGUGAGAUGUUGGGUCAAGUCCCGCAACGAGCGCAACCCUCGCCCCGUGUUGCCAGCGCGUCAUGGCGGGAACUCACGGGGGACCGCCGGGGUUAACCCGGAGGAAGGUGGGGAUGACGUCAGAUCAUCAUGCCCCUUACGUCCAGGGCUUCACGCAUGCUACAAUGGCCGGUACAGCGGGAUGCGACAUGGUGACAUGGAGCGGAUCCCUGAAAACCGGUCUCAGUUCGGAUCGGAGUCUGCAACCCGACUCCAUGAAGGCGGAGUCGCUAGUAAUCGCGGAUCAGCAACGCCGCGGUGAAUGCGUUCCCGGGCCUUGUACACACCGCCCGUCAAGUCAUGAAAGUGGGCAGCACCCGAAGCCGGUGGCCU